rnacentral:lncRNA from 1 species
CAAAACCCAGAGCCUUUCCCACCCAGUUAGCUGUCUUGUCUCCUUGAUGGCUGCUGUCUCAACAUAAGUUCUCAGCUCCUGCUCUAGAGCCAUGCUUGCCUGUUUCCAUGCUUCUCCAGACGAUGGUCAUGAACUCUGCUGCCCUCCGGAAUCAUGAGCCCCAGACUAAAUGCUUUCUUACGUGAGGGGUGACUUCCUCAUGGACACAAAAGGCUUCCUCCCAUUGGAGACUUUGCUAAAGGUUAAUUGUCCAAAACCUGGUUGAAUGGCUGGACCAAAGAAGCCACUUCUGUCAUUGCCUAUAUGUCCCCAAAAAGGGAUGUUCUCUGUGCUGCCUGCAGGAGCCCGUAUCCAAUAGGCUCUCUCCAAUGCCACUUUUGCCUUGGGACCCCAAUGCUGAUGAUUCUAACAUCCGGAAGCUGACAUCACUAUUCUCCAGACCCUCCACCUGUUUGUCCCACCACCACCAGGAACUGUGAGCAACCAUUCCGGGACCUGACAUUCUGUAAACUUCACACCACCUUCCAGCAUACCCAGCCAGGAGUACUUCCUGGAUAAAAUAUUAAACGCGCAAAUCUGAGAAGUGCCUUAACCAGCGACAGACUGCACGACCACAGCCUGGCGAAGGAGACGCACGCCGUCCGGGGGUGGGAAGAUAUGCUCACACGAUCUGAAAUUCGCUGCUGUGAAAACAGAAGGAAACGGUCCUGUCAGGAGAACCAGCCCCUGCAGUUCCCUAAGGCUGGCACAAUGGAGGAAGGUUCCUCUCCGCCUGAGUUCCUACCUCGGUGAUGGACUCCGUGAUGGACUAUGAUCCUGACACCCACAACUAAGAUCCGGCAGGUGCUUGCAGACAGUGACAUCUUGUGGGAAAUCUCAGGAACUGCACCGUGGCAAAUCGCUGCUCCUUUUACUGUGGGGUCCUUGGAAUACCCAGUCAACAUCAAGGAAGCAUUCAUUCAUUCACUGCCUUCUGUGUACAAGGAACUGAUCCAAGUCCUGGAAUAAAGAAAGCAAGAGAGACUGGAUGGCUACACGGGGAGUGAAAAAAUUCCCAAGGAUUAUAACCUUGUCAUUACUGCUCAACUUUAAAUAUAUUUUGUGUGUGUGUG